GACGAACGCUGGCGGCGUGCUUAACACAUGCAAGUCGAACGGAAAGGCCCUGCUUUUGCGGGGUGCUCGAGUGGCGAACGGGUGAGUAACACGUGAGUAACCUGCCCUUGACUUUGGGAUAACUUCAGGAAACUGGGGCUAAUACCGGAUAGGAGCUCCUGCUGCAUGGUGGGGGUUGGAAAGUUUCGGCGGUUGGGGCUGGACUCGCGGCUUAUCCGCUUGUUGGUGGGGUAGUGGCUUACCAAGGCUUUGACGGGUAGCCGGCCUGAGAGGGUGACCGGGCACAUUGGGACUGAGAUACGGCCCAGACUCCUACGGGAGGCAGCAGUGGAGAAUAUUGCACAAUGGGCGGGAGCCUGAGGCAGCAACGCCGCGUGCGGGAUGACGGCCUUCGGGUUGUAAACCGCUUUCGCCUGUGACGAAGCGUGAGUGACGGUAAUGGGUAAGGAAGCACCGGCUAACUACGUG
rnacentral:rRNA from 1 species